UUCAGAUUCUAACCAGUAAGGGUGGACAAGGCUCUAUCAAUUUCAGCAAACAUACACAUUUCUCAUCAGCAAGAUUUGCUCAUUGUAAGAAGGGCCACAACUCUGAAGGGAAUGAUUACAACUCUUUGAUUUGAUCCUCUUUGUCGAUGUCCUUGGAAAGCAAAGAAAUCUUAGUGAUGAAAAGAAACUGUCAGAGUCUGCUGUACACAGCCCUCACCAUUUCCCUCCUUGAUGGAAUCCCAUCUCCAUUGCAAAAUCUGAGCACUCUUGGUUAGAAGAAAGCAUCAAGUCAUUUAACACGGCCCUUUAUCCAUAUGCUAUGACUGGUGGUGGAGACAGACUUCAGCACAUGACAGCCCUGCCAGAUGGUCUUCCAGCCUGUGUCUGAACACUUCAUCGAAGGGGAACUUCCCACUUCAUCAAGCAGCAGUCCCACUGCUGGACAGCUCUAAUUGUUAGAAAAUUCUUCAGUAACUUCCAACCUUUAUUUUGAAAAUCACACAUGUGAUUUUCACUAACAUAACAAUCCUCCAAAGGUUGAAUCAUGGCUAUCAGGUCUCUCCUUACCCACCUUACAAUUUCUAGGCUAAACAGCUAAAAUUCUCUUUCCCUCAGAUGAUACUUUCUUUCCUGGACCCCUAUCUAUCAAUGGCUACUAAAAUGUGCCCUUUUGUGUCACACACCACCUAGAAUUAAAAAAAAAGAAAAAGAUUUCAGAUGUGAUCUACAGUACAGGUUUUCAGUAAGACUUAAAUCAUCAUCCAAAGCCCACCUUCAUUAUGAUAAUUUUAUCUGCUUUAUCCACAAGCAAUUCUCCUGGGAAGAGAUUCUUGUUUGCUGCUGAUGGAAC